rnacentral:tRNA from 1 species
GCGGAAGUGGCGGAACUGGCAUACGCGCAGGUCUCAGAAGCCUGUGCUGCAAGGCUUGAGGGUUCAAAUCCCUCCUUCCGCACCA